rnacentral:rRNA from 1 species
CGUGUAGGCGGAGGAGCAAGUCAGAUGUGAAAUCCCGGGGCUUAACCCCGGAACUGCAUUUGAAACUGUUUCCCUUGAGUAUCGGAGAGGCAAGCGGAAUUCCUAGUGUAGCGGUGAAAUGCGUAGAUAUUAGGAGGAACACCAGUGACGAAGGCGGCUUGCUGGACGACAACUGACGCUGAGGCGCGAAAGCGUGGGGAGCAAACA